rnacentral:rRNA from 1 species
CAGCAGCCGCGGGAAUACGUAGGGUGCAAGCGUUAAUCGGAAUUACUGGGCGUAAAGCGUGCGCAGGCGGUGUUGUAAGACUGAUGUGAAAUCCCCGGGCUCAACCUGGGAACUGCAUUGGUGACUGCAACGCUGGAGUGCGGCAGAGGGGGAUGGAAUUCCGCGUGUAGCAGUGAAAUGCGUAGAUAUGCGGAGGAACACCGAUGGCGAAGGCAAUCCCCUGGGCCUGUACUGACGCUCAUGCACGAAAGCGUGGGGAGCAAACAGGAUUAGAUACCCGAGUAGUCCCUGUCUCUUAUAA